UUUUAAGAACUAGAUACUAACAC
rnacentral:misc_RNA from 1 species